CAGGAGUGUGUGUAUGUGUGUGUGUGUGUGUGCGCGCACACACACACACACACACACACACACACACGCA